rnacentral:rRNA from 1 species
GAUGAACGCUGGCGGCGCGCUUAACACAUGCAAGUCGAACGGAAAGGCCUGCUUUUCCUUGUGGUUUGCGUGUACUCGGGCGGCGAACGGGUGAGUAACACGUCAGUGUUCUGCCCCCAACUUGGGUAUAAGCCCGGGAAACUGGGUCUAAUUAUCGAUAGGACUGCAGGGUGGUGCCUUUGGUGGAAAAUGAUUUUCUAGUGGUUGGUGAUUAGCUCGCGGCCUAUCAGCUUGUUGGUGUGGUAAUGUCCUACCAAGGCGGCGACGGGUAGCCGGACUGGGAGGGUGGACGGCGACACUGGGACUGGGUCACGGCCCAGACGGCAGGGGGAAGCAGCAGUGGGGAAUAAAGGGGCGUGAGCGGAAGCCUGAAGCGGCGACGGCGCGUGGAAGAUGGCGGCCUUCGGGAUGUAAACUCCUUGCGAACAAGAAGAAGCCACCUGGUUGGGAGGGUGGUGACGGUAGUGAUAGAAAAAGCACCGGCUAACUACGUG